UACGGAGGAUGCAAGCGUUAUCCGGAAUGAUUGGGCGUAAAGCGUCCGCAGGUGGCUGUGUAAGUCCGCUGUCAAAGAGCAAAGCUCAACUUUGUAAAGGCAGUGGAAACUACACGGCUAGAGUGCGUUCGGGGCAGAGGGAAUUCCUGGUGUAGCGGUGAAAUGCGUAGAGAUCAGGAAGAACACCGGUGGCGAAGGCGCUCUGCUAGGCCGCAACUGACACUGAGGGACGAAAGCUAGGGGAGCGAAUGGG
rnacentral:rRNA from 1 species